AAUUGGGGAUUGGUGAACAUUCACAAGUUUUUGCUUCGUGUUAUUCGUUUCUGCGUAUUUUGGAUUUUACACGAUUAGCUUCGGCAGUUUGAAACAUUUAGGCUCUGAUAAGUUUGAAUUACAACAAUGUGUUUGUGCAAAGUUCUAACUAAGAUAUUAGUGGAACACAUAUAUAAAAUGCUUGUAUCUGAUCACUUGAUUGAAAUGAGGACAAGUUUUAGAGAUAUUUGGUAUCUAAACGCCUAAAUGUUGGUAUCUGAUCUCUCCAUUGGCACGACUGGAAAUUACUUUAAUUUUUUUGCUCGGUUGAGUAUUUCUUAGGUUGUAGUUGGAGAGGGAAUGUGGAUUAGGAGACAGGUUUAAAAGGAACGCGUAACGGAAGUUUCGAGUAUUGAAUUGAGUGUUUUCAUCGUAGAGGAGAACGAGGAGGAAGGAGAUGACAUCCUCUGUUCUUCAGCAAGUUUGGUGCAUAUUUCGGAAUUUGGAUAGUUGUGAUGGGUGAUUCUGUAGUUAUCUUUACAGUGUUAAGUCAUCACGGAUUCACAAUCCAACCGGAGGACUUAUAAUUGAUCAACUUAAAAAGAGGGGGAGAAUGUGGAAGAUUAGGUGAUUAUAUUAAUUUUGAUGCAUUGUAUAAAAAUCUUACUACUAAUAAACUUAUUUCUACUAGAAGAUUCAGGAUUCAGAUAAUGAGUGACAGUUAUGACAUUUAGACCUGAUUUGAAAUUAUUGAAACAUUUGUACUAAUCUUUAGACUGGGUGUCAUUCUAAGUUCUAACAUAACAAAGACAAUAACAAUCUGAUUGGAACUGUAACCACAUCUGAUCUUAGCCAAAAAGGCAAAGAAAGGACAAUCAGAUUAGUGAAGUAUAGAACAGAGAAAAUUUAAUCUAUUUGGAUAUGAAGUAAAUAUAUUAGUAUGUAUGAUCCAUGUUUUUGGUACAGUUUUAACAGCUUAAUAUGGUUAUAACCCAACUGUUUUUCAUAGCUAAGGGUAUUUGAUAGUACUGUAUCUAUCUGUGGAUCUGGAACUUCAACAAUAUCAGUUUGAUGCUGAACAAUAUACUAACAUUUCUUACCAUGAUUAGUUAAUUGCCUUGUUCAAAUGCGCAAUAAUGUGAUGCAAUCUUACCCUUCAAGUUUUCUUUGAUCAGGAAUAUAGUGCAAUUGAACAAGGUGAAUUCUCAUUAUGAGAACAUCAUUUUGCAGUAGUUUUGUGUGUAUGACUUGGAAGCUUUUUCUUAUUUACAUGCUUGAGAUCAGUUUUCAGGAGAUCUGGAAAAGACAAUUUGCUUAGGUGUAGUUAUGUGCUACCAGAUGGCAUCACUCAUAUGAAGGGCUUUGUGAAAGAUCUCGAUUAAACAAUGCGAUACUUAUCCUUGGUUGAAGAUGAAUCCCCUUCUUCCCCAUGGCGUGAGUCUAGUGACAACCCCCCGCAUAAACGAAACACUGACCCAACAAAAACAGCAGAGAUUGAUUUCUUCAUAAUGUUUAAACUCUAUCUGUUUUCAAACUUUAGCAACUUCCCUUUCUGCAGGAAUUAUCCUUUGACGAAUGAGCGGUUUCCUUGUCCCAGAGAUGAUAUUUCGGCCGACUGAUUUGGAUCGGUCAUAAUUCUCCAUAUUUUACACUCGAACUUUAGACAAGUAAUACUCGAGAUUUAGGAAUGAACAAGGCAGGACUCACGGAAUGCAUUGUUCGAGCUGUCAAUUCGUGUCAUCCUCAUCUACACCCCGUGUUAUAUGAGAGGCCAUGGAGGCGUACAAAUCGAAAUCCAUGUGAGAACACGUCACCACUAAUGAAGAGUAACAUCGAUGGUACCAGAGUCGAACCGAGGUAUACCUUGAACUUAAGUGUAGAAGGGACUAGACAUGGAUUUGUCUCCCCAAUGGAUAUGAUGAUUGUGAUUUCUUACUUUAAAUGAAGAAAUUAUUGAGAUACUUAUGGUUGUGUUUGAGAAGUGCAAAUGUCCUAUGUUGAUAUUUCAGGGAAUGAGGUGACAACUCUUGAUUUUGAAUUAUCAUAUAGUGUUUACUGCUA